rnacentral:lncRNA from 1 species
CUGUUUCGUCAAAAGGCACUCAUGGCCUGCGCCGCCUGACACAGGAGGGAGUUCCACCCGCUCUCGCACCCCGCGUAUCUGGCGACAGGGACGCGACGUCCGUGUUCCACGGGUUGCAAGCAGGACAACAGGGGUCAGCCAUCUUCCCCAACGCACACAGUUGCCAUAACCAAACACCAUCAUCAUGCUUGGCGGCAGUGGUCGCCAGGAGGAUUGUCGACAGGAUCCAAAAGCAGCCGCCCUCCUCUGGUGGACGCGCUGACAGGGGCCGAAGGCCGGAGCAGGAGGCGGCGACACGAGGACUUGGUCCCCUCCUUGUAUUUUACUUAAUCAGCUUAUCUCUUUUACUUCUCCUCACGCCUGGCUCAUCUGUAACCCCGAGCUCUCCUUACGCUAUAAAAGGAGAACCGGGGGCUUUGAGACAGGAGGACUCUCUCAAGCCAACAGAACCCACACACUCUCCUUUAGAGCAUCAGUGCACACCUAAGAGACUUGGGACUAGCUCCCUCUCUCGC